UUGGAUUUGAUAGACAAGGUGGGCAAGGAGAACACGGUGGUCGUGAUCUACAUGCAAGAGGUGGACAAGGUGGGGGCCGUUGGGGCUCUGGUGGGCCAGAUGACCAAGGUAUGUAUGAUCCUACUGGACAAGGUGGUAAUCGAGGACAUAGAGUGCAAUUGGAAGGUGUCCAUUGCGAAGAAGAUGAUGAUGAGUGUCGGAGGAGACAUUAUCGGCGUUAAAGGGGAUUUGUCCAACGAAAACUUCCAAGUGAAAUGAGAACUCCACUGAUAUAAACUAUGCAUUGAAUAUGCUACAUUAUUAAAUAAUGUUUAUCUAAAGAUAA